rnacentral:rRNA from 1 species
UACGUAGGUGGCGAGCGUUGUCCGGAAUUACUGGGUGUAAAGGGCGUGUAGGCGGGAAUGUAAGUCAGAUGUGAAAUACCGAAGCUUAACUUCGGAGCUGCAUCUGAAACUGCGUUUCUUGAGUGUCGGAGAGGAAAGCGGAAUUCCCAGUGUAGCGGUGAAAUGCGUAGAGAUUGGGAGGAACACCAGUGGCGAAGGCGGCUUUCUGGACGAUAACUGACGCUGAGGCGCGAAAGCGUGGGGAGCAAACAGG